rnacentral:lncRNA from 1 species
ACAUAUUUAACCUUUCAAGUUAUGCUUUUCUCAAUUUAAUCCCUAAUUGACAUUUUUACUCAAAAUCACUUUACAAAAUAUGUAUAUCAAACACCAAACUUUCAUAAUUCAUCAAAAAUCAUUCAAAAACUCAAGCAUUCGUCAAUGGAAACUCGAAAAUUCAUAAAAAAUGAGCUAGCUAAUACACGAAGCAACGAUCACAAAAACAUAAAAAUUAUUAAAAAC